UUUGUUCUAUUAAGUCAUAACGACUCUCGGCAACGGAUAUCUCGGCUCUCGCAUCGAUGAAGAACGUAGCGAAAUGCGAUACGUGGUGUGAAUUGCAGAAUUCCGUGAACCAUCGAGUUUUUGAACGCAAGUUGCGCCCAAAGCCAUUCGGCCGA
rnacentral:rRNA from 2 species